rnacentral:rRNA from 1 species
GUUGAACGCUGGCGGCAGGCUUAACACAUGCAAGUCGAGCGGAGAUGAGGUGCUUGCACCUUAUCUUAGCGGCGGACGGGUGAGUAAUGCUUAGGAAUCUGCCUAUUAGUGGGGGACAACAUUCCGAAAGGAAUGCUAAUACCGCAUACGCCCUACGGGGGAAAGCAGGGGAUCUUCGGACCUUGCGCUAGUAGAUGAGCCUAAGUCGGAUUAGCUAGUUGGUGGGGUAAAGGCCUACCAAGGCGACGAUCUGUAGCGGGUCUGAGAGGAUGAUCCGCCACACUGGGACUGAGACACGGCCCAGACUCCUACGGGAGGCAGCAGUGGGGAAUAUUGGACAAUGGGCGGAAGCCUGAUCCAGCCAUGCCGCGUGUGUGAAGAAGGCCUUUUGGUUGUAAAGCACUUUAAGCGAGGAGGAGGCUACCUGGAUUAAUACUCUAGGAUAGUGGACGUUACUCGCAGAAUAAGCACCGGCUAACUCUGUGCCAGCCGCCGCGGUAAGAC